CGCGAGUGAACCAGGUGUGCACAGGUAAAAUUUAUAAAAUAUACCAUAGCAAUAUAAAACUGUCCGUGAUAUACGGCCUGUGUACAAAAUCUAACAAUUUUUUUAAGAGUGAUUGUAAGAAUACGUAUAGAUUAUCCCACUGUUAUCUAAUUUCAAUUUUACUUUUAUUUAUAUUUCAGCACCUAUUCUUCCGUUUUUAUAUAUAAUUUUUGGUCCCGUUAUUUUAUAUAAGUAAUUCGUCUAGUUUUUAUCCUCACAUAUGUGACUUCAUUUUCACUCUAGAAAACAGUGGUAUAUUUUGAA
rnacentral:lncRNA from 1 species